rnacentral:ncRNA from 1 species
CCUGGGGAGUACGUUCGCAAGAAUGAAACUCAAAGGAAUUGACAGGGGCCCGCACAAGCGGUGGAGCAUGUGGUUCAAUUCGAUGCAAAGCGAAGAACCUUACCAGGGCUUGACAUGUCAUGAAUCCUCUCGAAAGAGAGGAGUGCCUUCGGGAACAUGGACACAGGUGGUGCAUGGAUGUCGUCAGCUCGUGCCAUAAGGUGUUGGGUUAAGUCCCGCAACGAGCGCAACCCUCGUGUUUAGUUGCCAGCAUUGAGUUUGGAACCCUGAACAGACUAUCGGUGAUAAGCCGGAGGAAGGUGAGGAUGACUUCAAGUCAUCAUGCCCCUUACGCCCUGGGUGACACAUGUGAUACAAUGACCAGGACAAAGGGUCUCGACCCCGUGAGGGCAAGCUAACCUCAAAAACCCGGCCUCAGUUCGGAUUGCAGGCUGCAACUCACCUGCAUGAAGCCGAAAUUGCUAGUAAUCGUCGGUCAUCCAUACGGCAGUGAAUCCAUUCCUGGGCCUUGUACACACUGCCCGUCACACUAUGGGAGCUGGACAUGCCCCAAGUCAUUACCUUAACCGCAA